rnacentral:rRNA from 1 species
UCUGAUGGCGAGUGGCGAACGGGUGAGUAACAUAUCGGAACGUACCUAGUAAUGGGGAACAACCAGCCGAAAGGUUGGCUAAUACCGCAUACGACCUACGGGUGAAAGCAGGGGAUCUUCGGACCUUGCGUUAUUAGAGCGGCCGAUAUCUGAUUAGGUAGUUGGUAGGGUAAAGGCCUACCAAGCCGACGAUCAGUAGCUGGUCUGAGAGGAUGGACAGCCACAUUGGGACUGAGAUACGGCCCAGACUCC